GAUGAACGCUGGCGGCGUGCUUAACACAUGCAAGUCGAACGGGAAUUACUUUAUUGAAACUUCGGUCGAUUUAAUUUAAUUCUAGUGGCGGACGGGUGAGUAACGCGUGGGUAACCUGCCUUAUACAGGGGGAUAACAGUCAGAAAUGGCUGCUAAUACCGCAUAAGCGCACAGAGCUGCAUGGCUCAGUGUGAAAAACUCCGGUGGUAUAAGAUGGACCCGCGUUGGAUUAGCUAGUUGGUGGGGUAACGGCCCACCAAGGCGACGAUCCAUAGCCGGCCUGAGAGGGUGAACGGCCACAUUGGGACUGAGACACGGCCCAGACUCCUACGGGAGGCAGCAGUGGGGAAUAUUGCACAAUGGGGGAAACCCUGAUGCAGCGACGCCGCGUGAAGGAAGAAGUAUCUCGGUAUGUAAACUUCUAUCAGCAGGGAAGAUAGUGACGGUACCUGACUAAGAAGCCCCGGCUAACUACGUGCCAGUAGCCGCGGUAAUACGUAGGGGGCAAGCGUUAUCCGGAUUUACUGGGUGUAAAGGGAGCGCAGGCGGGAAGACAAGUUGGAAGUGAAAUCCAUGGGCUCAACCCAUGAACUGCUUUCAAAACUGUUUUUCUUGAGUAGUGCAGAGGUAGGCGGAAUUCCCGGUGUAGCGGUGGAAUGCGUAGAUAUCGGGAGGAACACCAGUGGCGAAGGCGGCCUACUGGGCACCAACUGACGCUGAGGCUCGAAAGUGUGGGUAGCAAACAGGAUUAGAUACCCUGGUAGUCCACACCGUAAACGAUGAUUACUAGGUGUUGGAGGAUUGACCCCUUCAGUGCCGCAGUUAACACAAUAAGUAAUCCACCUGGGGAGUACGACCGCAAGGUUGAAACUCAAAGGAAUUGACGGGGGCCCGCACAAGCAGUGGAGUAUGUGGUUUAAUUUGACGCAACGCGAAGAACCUUACCAAGUCUUGACAUCCCUUGACGAUGCUGGAAACAGUAUUUCUCUUCUGAGCAAGGAGACAGGUGGUGCAUGGUUGUCGUCAGCUCGUGUCGUGAGAUGUUGGGUUAAGUCCCGCAACGAGCGCAACCCUUAUGGUCAGUUAUUACGCAAGAGGACUCUGGCCAGACUGCCGUUGACAAAACGGAGGAAGGUGGGGAGGACGUCAAAUCAUCAUGCCCUCUAUGACUUGGGCUACACACGUACUACAAUGGCGUUAAACAAAGAGAAGCAAGACCGCGAGGUGGAGCAAAACUCAGAAACAACGUCCCAGUUCGGACUGCAGGCUGCAACUCGCCUGCACGAAGUCGGAAUUGCUAGUAAUCGUGGAUCAGCAUGCCACGGUGAAUAAAAUCCCGGGCCUUGCACA
rnacentral:rRNA from 1 species